CACAAAGAGGGCGAGCGUUAAUCAUAAUGGUUUAAAGGAUCCGUAGAAUGAAUUAUAAAAUAUAAUUUAGAGUUAAAAAAUUUAAUUAAAGAAUUAUAAUAGUAAAGAUGAAAUAAUAAUAAUAAUUAUAAGACUAAUAUAUGUGAAAAUAUUAAUUAAAUAUUAACUGACAUUGAGGGAUUAAAACUAGAGUAGCGAAACGGAUUCGAUACCCGUGUAGUUCUAGUAGUAAACUAUGAAUACAAUUAUUUAUAAUAUAUAUUAUAUAUAAAUAAUAAAUGAAAAUGAAAGUAUUCCACCUGAAGAGUACGUUAGCAAUAAUGAAACUCAAAACAAUAGACGGUUACAGACUUAAGCAGUGGAGCAU
rnacentral:rRNA from 1 species